AAAGGGGAGUCUUCAAGAAAGGCUGAGAGGAUACUUUAUCGUAUCGACCCAUAACCUGAUCUAGGUCAUGCUAGCGUAGGGAAGAUCGAUUUU
rnacentral:ncRNA from 1 species